UACAGAGGGGGCGAGCGUUGUUCGGAAUUACUGGGCGUAAAGGCGCGUAGGCGGCCAACUAAGUCAGACGUGAAAUCCCUCGGCUCAACCGGGGAACUGCGUCUGAUACUGGAUGGCUUGAAUUCGGGAGAGGGAUGCGGAAUUCCAAGGUGUAGCGGUGAAAUGCGUAGAUACCUGGAGGAACGACCGGGUGGCGAAGGCGGGUCUCUGGGCCGAUACUGACGCUGAGGAGCGAAAGCGUGG
rnacentral:rRNA from 1 species